AUUGAACGCUGGCGGCAGGCCUAACACAUGCAAGUCGAACGAGUGGCGGACGGGUGAGUAAUGUCUGGGAAACUGCCUGAUGGAGGGGGAUAACUACUGGAAACGGUAGCUAAUACCGCAUACCAUCAGAUGUGCCCAGAGGGGAGUAGCUAGUUGGUGGGGUAACGGCUCACAAAGGCGACGAGCCAUAGCUGGUCUGAGAGGAAGAUCAGCCACACUGGAACUGAGACACGGUCCAGACUCCUACGGGAGGCAGCAGUGGGGAAUAUUGGACAAUGGGCGCAAGCCUGAUGCAGCCAUGCCGCGUGUAUGAAGAAGGCCUUCGGGUUGUAAAGUACUUUCAGCUGGGAGGCGUUACCCGCAGAAGAAGCAACGGCUAACUCCGUGCCAGCAGCCGCGGUAAUUC
rnacentral:rRNA from 1 species